AUGGAUUCAAUCAUUCAAGGUCAAAAACAACUGGUUUUGGUCAUUACAACUGUUGUGCUUCUAUUAGCAUCCUUUUUCUCCUUCAUCGCUUGGUUUGGACUGGUCAAAAGGCACAUAAAAGUGAGCCCACAGGAAGGUGAAGAACUAGUCUGGGGAACUGGGAGGAGUUCAGAGUUCAAGCUUUUUGACUUCACACAAGUAUCAGAUGCUACAAGUAAUUUCUCAGAUGAAAAUAAAUUGGGGCAAGGUGGCUUUGGCCCAGUAUACAAGGGCCAGCUUCCGAAAGGUUUGGAGAUAGCAAUUAAGAGACUUGCUUCAAACUCUGGCCAAGGUUUCACUGAGUUCAAAAAUGAAGUCCAACUCAUAGCCAAGCUCCAGCACACAAAUUUGGUUAGGCUGUUGGGAUGUUGCUCGCAAGGAGAGGAGAAAAUAUUGAUCUAUGAAUAUUUGCCAAAUAAAAGCUUGGACUCCUUUAUCUUUGAGAUAAUGAGGUGUAUCAACAUCGCAUUGCUGUGUGUACAAGAGAAUGCAGCUGACAGACCCACCACGACAAGCAUGGUUACAAUGCUAAGCAGCGAAAGUAUGACCCUGCCUGAACCUAAGCAUCCAGCGUAUUUCCACAUAAGGGUAACAGAGGAAGAGCCACCUAGUGCUAAUGAUGUGACGAUGUCUGCUCUACAGGGCAGAUAG
rnacentral:rRNA from 1 species